rnacentral:tRNA from 1 species
GAUAGAGUGACUGAAGUAUAUAGGUGAUAAAUUGUAAAUUUAUUUAUGGUUAAUUAAGCCCUCUAUCA